GACGAACGCUGGCGGCGUGCUUAACACAUGCAAGUCGAGCGGUAAGGCCUCUUCGGGGGUACACGAGCGGCGAACGGGUGAGUAACACGUGGGUGACCUGCCCUCAGCUCUGGGAUAAGCCUGGGAAACUGGGUCUAAUACCGGAUAUGACCUGGCCUAGCAUGGGGUUGGGUGGAAAGUUUUUCGGCUGGGGAUGGGCCCGCGGCCUAUCAGGUUGUUGGUGGGGUGAUGGCCUACCAAGGCGACGACGGGUAGCCGGCCUGAGAGGGCGACCGGCCACACUGGGACUGAGAUACGGCCCAGACUCCUACGGGAGGCAGCAGUGGGGAAUAUUGCGCAAUGGGCGAAAGCCUGACGCAGCGACGCCGCGUGGGGGAUGACGGCCUUCGGGUUGUAAACCUCUUUCGACCGGGACGAAGGGUGACUGACGGUACCGGUAGAAGAAGCACCGGCCAACUACGUGCCAGCCGCCGCAGUAAAAC
rnacentral:rRNA from 1 species